UAAAAUGGGGGCGAAGCCUGACGGAGCAACGCCGCGUGAGUGAUGAAGGUCUUCGGAUCGUAAAACUCUGUUAUUAGGGAAGAACAAAUGUGUAAGUAACUAUGCACGUCUUGACGGUACCUAAUCAGAAAGCCACGGCUAACUACGUGCCAGCAGCCGCGGUAAUACGUAGGUGGCAAGCGUUAUCCGGAAUUAUUGGGCGUAAAGCGCGCGUAGGCGGUUUUUUAAGUCUGAUGUGAAAGCCCACGGCUCAACCGUGGAGGGUCAUUGGAAACUGGAAAACUUGAGUGCAGAAGAGGAAAGUGGAAUUCCAUGUGUAGCGGUGAAAUGCGCAGAGAUAUGGAGGAACACCAGUGGCGAAGGCGACUUUCUGGUCUGUAACUGACGCUGAUGUGCGAAAGCGUGGGGAUCAAACAGGAUUAGAUACUGGGGGUGAAUUCCGCA
rnacentral:rRNA from 1 species